rnacentral:rRNA from 1 species
UACGUAGGGUGCGAGCGUUAAUCGGAAUUACUGGGCGUAAAGCGUGCGCAGGCGGUUUUGUAAGCCAGAUGUGAAAUCCCCCGGGCUUAACCUGGGAAUGGCAUUUGGGACUGCAAGGCUUGAGUGCGGCAGAGGAGACUGGAAUUCCUGGUGUAGCAGUGAAAUGCGUAGAUAUCAGGAGGAACACCGAUGGCGAAGGCAGGUCUCUGGGCUGACACUGACGCUCAUGCACGAAAGCGUGGGGAGCAAACAGG